CUAAGAAUAUUCCGCAAUGGGGGAACCCUGACGGAGCGACGCCGCGUGGGCGAGGAAGGCCGGAAGGUUGUAAAGCCCUUUUGCGCGCGAGGAAUAAGGGGAGGAGGGAAUGCCUUCCCGGUGACUGUAGCGCGCGAAUAAGCGCCGGCUAAUUACGUGCCAGCAGCCGCGGUAACACGUAAGGCGCGAGCGUUGUUCGGAAUCAUUGGGCGUAAAGGGCGUGUAGGCGGCCCUGCAAGCCUGGCGUGAAAUCCCGGGGCCCAACCCCGGAACCGCGCUGGGAACUGCUGGGCUUGAGCCGCUGUGGCGCAGCCGGAAUUCCAGGUGUAGGGGUGAAAUCUGUAGAUAUCUGGAAGAACACCGAUGGCGAAGGCAGGCUGCGAGCGGACGGCUGACGCUGAGGCGCGAAGGCGCGGGGAGCGAACAGGAUUAGAUACCCUGGUAGU
rnacentral:rRNA from 1 species